rnacentral:rRNA from 2 species
UGGGGAAUAUUGCACAAUGGGCGGAAGCCUGAUGCAGCGACGCCGCGUGGGGGAUGAAGGCCUUCGGGUUGUAAACUCCUUUCGACAGGGACGAAGCUUUUGUGACGGUACCUGUAUAAGAAGCACCGGCUAACUACGUGCCAGCAGCCGCGGUAAUACGUAGGGUGCGAGCGUUGUCCGGAAUUACUGGGCGUAAAGAGCUCGUAGGUGGUUUGUCGCGUCGUCUGUGAAAUUCCGGGGCUUAACUCCGGGCGUGCAGGCGAUACGGGCUGACUUGAGUGCUGUAGGGGAGACUGGAAUUCCUGGUGUAGCGGUGAAAUGCGCAGAUAUCAGGAGGAACACCGAUGGCGAAGGCAGGUCUCUGGGCAGUAACUGACGCUGAGGGGCGAAAGCAUGGGUAGCGAACAGG